rnacentral:misc_RNA from 1 species
GUUUGAUAGAAUCCCAUCUUACCUUAUUAAAGCAGUGGCAUAUGCUACGUGGAUGGUACUUGGAUGAGUUCCAUUUAAGUUUGAUCAGAUGUGGUUUGAUCUUUAGUGACUGACUUUUGUCUGCCUUCAGUGGAGCAGUAAGAAUUAAGAAAUAUAUAUUUAUUCUAAACAAUCUCUUGCACUGCUUUGUGGUUGUUAUUCAGAUCAGAGUGUUAUGAGGUGUUCCUUGGAUAUCUUUCUAUGUAUCUCCUAGAUUAGCUAGUGAGCAAAUUUAUGCCAGGGCAGUGUGUGUGUGGACAAU